rfam:Baudoinia panamericana TAMH 10762 unplaced genomic scaffold BATCOscaffold_8, whole genome shotgun sequence.
GCCGGGGUAGCUCAAUCGGUAGAGCGUGUGGCUCUUAUUGAAGAGACAACCUCAAGGUCGCGGGUAAGCUUUAACCAUCAAGCUCGGACGCCUUGCCGCAGUUCUAAUUGUUGCAACAGGUUCGAGCCCCGCCUUCGGCU